rnacentral:lncRNA from 1 species
UCAGAUGGAUUCUUGCUCUGUCACCCAGACUGAAGUGCAGUGGUGCGAUCUCGGCUCACAGCAACUUCCGCCUCCAAGGUUCAAACAAUUCUCCUGCCUCAGCCUCCUGAGUAGCUGGGAUUGCAGGCAUGUGCCUCCAUACUUGGCUAAUUUUUUUUUUUUGUAUUUUUAGGCGAGGCAGGGUUUUGUCAUGUUGGCCAGGCUGGUCUUGAACUCCUGACCUCAGGCAAUCCUCCCACCUCAGCCUCCUGGGCUCAGUGGUUCAUGCUGGGAUUAUGGGUAUGAGCCACUGCACCUGGCCCCAAAUGAACUUUUGAAGAGGAGCUGGGCUUUACAAUUUAUAGCCCCUCCCCGAGACUUCAUCAGAGUCACAUGGCACCACGUGGCGAAUUUCUCUCCGGUGAUCCAUCAGUGUCCUAGGAGAGCUUCAGGCCCCUCAAUUCUUUUUUGUCUCUGGAUGGUCGCCCAGCCUGAAGUGCAGUGGCAUGAUCUCAGCUCACUGCAACCUCCACCUCCCAGGUUCAAGUGAUUCUCCUGCUUCAGCCUCCUGAGUAGCUAAAAUUACAGGCACCUGCCACCAUGCCUGGCUAAUUUUUGUAUUUUUAGUAGAGAGGGGGUUUCACCAUGUUGGCCAGGCUGGUCUCAAACUCCUGACCUCAGGUGAUCCACUCGCCUCAGCCUCCCAAAGUGCUGGGAUUACAGGUGUGAGCCACCACACCCAGCUGAAUCAGCCUAACAUUUAAGACUGAGGAUGUUUUGCACUUCUUGGAAAUGUAUCAUGUGCUUGUUUUACUGAUUUGAAACAUUAAAUAGAAGAAUGAAGGCACAUUUUUAUAGGAAAAAAAUGAUCAAGCAUGAGACAGGACCCCUGGACUCUGGAGAGGCACUUUGGUUUCAGGAUAAUCCUUAAAGAUAGAACCUCGCCAUCUUGGACAUCUGACCUCCAGAUAAAUCCUCCAAAAAGAAAAAAAAGAAAAGCCCUAAGGACCAGAGAAGUCAUCUUUAACAUGCAUUCUUCAUACUCUCUCAGAGAAAAUAUGCCCAUGGCUAAUGUGAGAGGCAGAGCAGAACUGAACAGAGGCUUAAAUUUUUCUACCUGAGAGUCAGAAUUUGCGUGUGGAGAUGAAUUUUGAUAGGUGUCAAAAAGCAACUGUUGGCCUUUAUGCUCUUACGGUUACCCACACUUCUAGUGAGCAACUCAUGGGUGCUAAUAUUGGGAAGCAGAGCCACCCAAGCCAACUGUAUUCAAAUUAAGGUAGAGAGAAAACCCAGAUUUGGCUACUUGCCAGACUGCUAUGCUACCUCUUUCUCAACUUACAUUAACUCAGGAGUAGGAAGCUGGGGCAAGUGGUGAAUUCUUCUAUUUCUUCUGCUACUGACCUUCCUUUGAGGCCCAAUUUAGCCCAAGAUGGGUAAGAAAAGUGAGACUGCUGAUAUUAUUUAUUUUGACCUCCACCCAGAAACAUACUGCUUCAGCCUUUCAUCCUUUUUGGAUCAAUUGACACAAGUGUUUUUUUUGUUUUGUUUUAUUUGGCUUAAAACAGUGGUUAUCAAUUUUUUUUCUGCCUUUGGUUUGUUGAAGCAAAAGUUGCUAUGAGUCACAAGCUUUGCCUGCUUUACAUAGCCAUUUAGCUAUAUUACAAAAUUAAAUUAAAUAUAUUAAAAAUAAUAUUUUAUAAUAAUAAAUAUAUUAAAAAUUAUAUUAAAAAUUAUACUGCAGGAACAAAUGGGAAGACAUGGCACCAUUUUUAAGUAAAGUAUAACAUAACAUACAUUAAAAAAUGUGCCCUGAUGAAAUUUCACAAACAACAAACUGAAUAUUCCCAUGUAAGCCCCACCCAGGUAAAGAAAUAGAAAAUUACCAGAACCCCCAAAUCCACCUCUUGUGCCUCCUUCUAAUUUCUUUCUGAGAAAGAUAACCACUGUUUUGACUUCUAUUACAUAUCACUUUUUAAAAAUCUACUUUAGGCUGGGAGAGGUGGCUCAUGCCUGUAAUCCUAGCACUUUGGGAAGCCAAGGAAGGAGGAUCACUUGAACCCAGAAGUUCACGACCAGCCUGGGCAACACCGUGAAAUCCGGUCUCUACAAAAAUAAACAAAAUUAGCCAGGUACGGUGGCACAUACCUGUAGUUCCAGCUUCUAUAUUCUGGAAGUUGAGGUGGGAGGAUCACUUGUGCCUGGGAGGUUGAGGCUGCAGUGAGCCAUGAUCAUGCCACUGCACUUCAGGCCAGGCAACAGAGCAAGACCUUGUCUCAGAA